rnacentral:misc_RNA from 1 species
CCCCCCACCCCCCUACCCGGCCACCCUUGUCUACCGGACCUGUUGCCUCGGCGGGCCUGCAGCGAUGCUGCCGGGGGAGCUUCUCCUCCCCGGGCCCGUGUCCGCCGGGGACACCGCAAGAACCGUCGGUGAACGAUUGGCGUCUGAGCAUGAGAGCGAUAAUAAUCCAGUCAAAACUUUCAACAACGGAUCUCUUGGUUCCGACAUCGAUGAAGAACGCAGCGAAAUGCGAUAAGUAAUGUGAAUUGCAGAAUUCCGUGAAUCAUCGAAUCUUUGAACGCACAUUGCGCCCCCUGGUAUUCCGGGGGGCAUGCCUGUCCGAGCGUCAUUGCAACCCUCAAGCGCGGCUUGUGUGUUGGGCCGUCGUCCCCCCUCGACCGGCGGGACGUGCCCGAAAUGCAGUGGCGGUGUCGAGUUCCGGUGCCCGA